UACGUAGGGUGCAAGCGUUAAUCGGAAUUACUGGGCGUAAAGCGUGCGCAGGCGGUGAUGUAAGACAGUUGUGAAAUCCCCGGGCACAACCUGGGAACUGCAUCUGUGACUGCAUCGCUGGAGUACGGUAGAGGGGGAUGGAAUUCCGCGUGUAGCAGUGAAAUGCGUAGAUAUGCGGAGGAACACCGAUGGCGAAGGCAAUCCCCUGGACCUGUACUGACGCUCAUGCACGAAAGCGUGGGGAGCAAACAGG
rnacentral:rRNA from 1 species